GAUGAACGCUGGCGGCGUGCCUAAUACAUGCAAGUCGAGCGAACAGAUGAGGAGCUUGCUCCUCUGACGUUAGCGGCGGACGGGUGAGUAACACGUGGAUAACCUACCUAUAAGACUGGGAUAACUUCGGGAAACCGGAGCUAAUACCGGCUCAUAUAUUGAACCGCAUGGUUCAAUAGUGAAAGACGGUUUUGCUGUCACUUAUAGAUGGUUCGGCGCCGCAUUAGCUAGUUGGUAAGGUAACGGCUUACCAAAGCAACGAUGCGUAGCCGGCCUGAGAGGACGAGCAGCCACACUGGGACUGAGACACGGCCCAGACUACGACGGGAGGCAGCAGUGGGGAAGUUUGGACAAUGGGGGCAACCCUGAUCCAGCCAUCCAGAGUGUGCGAUGAAGGCCUUCGGGUUGGAAAGCACUUUUGGCAGGAAAGAAACGUCGCGGGCUAAUACCCCGGGGAACUGACGGUACCUGCAGAAUAAGCACCGGCUAACUACGUG
rnacentral:rRNA from 1 species